UGGUCAUUACCAAGGCUUUUAGAAUGCAGUUUCUCAAUUGCUGUGGACAUGACCAUAAAAAAACUUCCACUAGGUUUUCUAUCUGUUACUUUGCUAGCACUCAACCUACUGGGAACAUUU
ensembl:snoRNA